CCUACGGGAGGCUGCAGUGGGGAAUAUUGGACAAUGGGGGGAACCCUGAUCCAGCCAUGCCGCGUGUGUGAAGAAGGCCCUCGGGUUGUAAAGCACUUUCAGUGAGGAAGAACGCCUGGUGGUUAAUACCCAUCAGGAAAGACAUCACUCACAGAAGAAGCACCGGCUAACUCCGUGCCAGCAGCCGCGGUAAUACGGAGGGUGCGAGCGUUAAUCGGAAUUACUGGGCGUAAAGCGCGCGUAGGUGGCUUGAUAAGCCGGUUGUGAAAGCCCCGGGCUCAACCUGGGAACGGCAUCCGGAACUGUGAGGCUAGAGUGCAGGAGAGGAAGGUAGAAUUCGCGGUGUAGCGGUGAAAUGCGUAGAGAUCGGGAGGAAUACCAGUGGCGAAGGCGGCCUUCUGGACUGACACUGACACUGAGGUGCGAAAGCGUGGGUAGCAAACAGGAUAGAUUACCCCAGUAGUC
rnacentral:rRNA from 1 species